CAAUCGAACUAACUAUAGUAAGUUUUUGAUGAAAUAAAUUGUAAAUUUUGACAAAAUAGAAGAAAAAAUACGAGCGAGUCAGUUCUGUAGUAUCAUUAUCAUAACACAGAAUAAGUAAUAGCAAAAUCCUAUUCUGUGCAACUGUUAAGUACCUAAUUGUAAGAGUUUACUUUCGUUUCACACUAUAAGCAUAUAAGCAUAACGAAUGUAUUUUAAUUAGAACUACCAAGUGUUACUUAGGUUUUAAUUAUCAACUAUGUUGCAUACAAGUUUUGAACUAUUUGGCAACAAUUAUUUCAAACAAGCGGACAGCAAAAUUGCUCAAAGCCGUUUUAAUAAACCAUGAAGGAAAGCGCGGUGAAUAUCUUAUCAAUUAAUAUUAGGUACUUUUUAUAUUAAUGUUAUCGCUCACUCUCAGUAACUCACGAGAGAUUUACGGAAAAGUGAAGAUACAAAUGCAAAGCCGGGAAAAAAUUAAGAGAUAUCAAGAUAUUGAAGCGAGACACUUUGUGACUCUACUAAUAAGUUAUCUUGCAUCAUUUCAAAGGGAAUCUUGUUAUUUUAGCUCUAUAAUGUGCCAGCUAAAAUAUAGAAUACUUGUUUUAUCGAAACUACUACGAGAUAUAGCAAACCAUCGUACGCAUCUAGCAAAUACUUUUAGUUUGGAUAAACUCGUUCAACAUAUGCAAGCUUCAGAAAGAACAUUUGGUCCUGCCAACAAGAGAGUGCGUAAGAAAAAGUUCAUAUUUUGGCGUUAAUUAUGUGUAAUUAUUACUUGACUACCCAAAUAAAUAAGAACACUUUAUAAGUAUUGUAUAAUUUGAGUAACGCAAAUAACAAUUAUAUUUAGCAAAAUUAUAUAAUUCAUAUUUCGCGAC